AGACUUAGGAUAUUUUAAACCCAGGACCUUCAAAGUCCUUAAAAAGGGCCCUGCCCCCUUAGUUUCU
rnacentral:tRNA from 1 species